rnacentral:rRNA from 1 species
GAUUAGUGGCGAACGGGUGAGUAACACGUGGGCAAUCUGCCCUUCACUCUGGGACAAGCCCUGGAAACGGGGUCUAAUACCGGAUACGACCACCGACCGCAUGGUCUGGUGGUGGAAAGCUCCGGCGGUGAAGGAUGAGCCCGCGGCCUAUCAGCUUGUUGGUGGGGUGAUGGCCUACCAAGGCGACGACGGGUAGCCGGCCUGAGAGGGCGACCGGCCACACUGGGACUGAGACACGGCCCAGACUCCUACGGGAGGCAGCAGUGGGGAAUAUUGCACAAUGGGCGAAAGCCUGAUGCAGCGACGCCGCGUGAGGGAUGACGGCCUUCGGGUUGUAAACCUCUUUCAGCAGGGAAGAAGCGAAAGUGACGGUACCUGCAGAAGAAGCGCCGGCUAACUACGUGCCAGCAGCCGCGGUAAUACGUAGGGCGCAAGCGUUGUCCGGAAUUAUUGGGCGUAAAGAGCUCGUAGGCGGCUUGUCACGUCGGAUGUGAAAGCCCGGGGCUUAACCCCGGGUCUGCAUUCGAUACGGGCAGGCUAGAGUUCGGUAGGGGAGAUCGGAAUUCCUGGUGUAGCGGUGAAAUGCGCAGAUAUCAGGAGGAACACCGGUGGCGAAGGCGGAUCUCUGGGCCGAUACUGACGCUGAGGAGCGAAAGCGUGGGGAGCGAACAGGAUUAGAUACCCUGGUAGUCCACGCCGUAAACGUUGGGAACUAGGUGUGGGCGACAUUCCACGUCGUCCGUGCCGCAG